AAAUUGAAGAGUUUGAUCAUGGCUCAGAUUGAACGCUGGCGGCAGGCCUAACACAUGCAAGUCGAACGGUAACAGGAAGCAGCUUGCUGCUUUGCUGACGAGUGGCGGACGGGUGAGUAAUGUCUGGGAAACUGCCUGAUGGAGGGGGAUAACUACUGGAAACGGUGGCUAAUACCGCAUAACGUCGCAAGACCAAAGAGGGGGACCUUCGGGCCUCUUGCCAUCAGAUGUGCCCAGAUGGGAUUAGCUUGUUGGUGAGGUAACGGCUCACCAAGGCGACGAUCCCUAGCUGGUCUGAGAGGAUGACCAGCCACACUGGAACUGAGACACGGUCCAGACUCCUACGGGAGGCAGCAGUGGGGAAUAUUGCACAAUGGGCGCAAGCCUGAUGCAGCCAUGCCGCGUGUAUGAAGAAGGCCUUCGGGUUGUAAAGUACUUUCAGCGGGGAGGAAGGUGUUGUGGUUAAUAACCGCAGCAAUUGACGUUACCCGCAGAAGAAGCACCGGCUAACUCCGUGCCAGCAGCCGCGGUAAUACGGAGGGUGCAAGCGUUAAUCGGAAUUACUGGGCGUAAAGCGCACGCAGGCGGUCUGUCAAGUCGGAUGUGAAAUCCCCGGGCUCAACCUGGGAACUGCAUUCGAAACUGGCAGGCUUGAGUCUUGUAGAGGGGGGUAGAAUUCCAGGUGUAGCGGUGAAAUGCGUAGAGAUCUGGAGGAAUACCGGUGGCGAAGGCGGCCCCCUGGACAAAGACUGACGCUCAGGUGCGAAAGCGUGGGGAGCAAACAGGAUUAGAUACCCUGGUAGUCCACGCCGUAAACGAUGUCUACUUGGAGGUUGUGCCCUUGAGGCGUGGCUUCCGGAGCUAACGCGUUAAGUAGACCGCCUGGGGAGUACGGCCGCAAGGUUAAAACUCAAAUGAAUUGACGGGGGCCCGCACAAGCGGUGGAGCAUGUGGUUUAAUUCGAUGCAACGCGAAGAACCUUACCUGGUCUUGACAUCCACAGAACUUUCCAGAGAUGGACUGGUGCCUUCGGGAACUGUGAGACAGGUGCUGCAUGGCUGUCGUCAGCUCGUGUUGUGAAAUGUUGGGUUAAGUCCCGCAACGAGCGCAACCCUUAUCCUUUGUUGCCAGCGAUUCGGUCGGGAACUCAAAGGAGACUGCCAGUGAUAAACUGGAGGAAGGUGGGGAUGACGUCAAGUCAUCAUGGCCCUUACGACCAGGGCUACACACGUGCUACAAUGGCGCAUACAAAGAGAAGCGACCUCGCGAGAGCAAGCGGACCUCAUAAAGUGCGUCGUAGUCCGGAUUGGAGUCUGCAACUCGACUCCAUGAAGUCGGAAUCGCUAGUAAUCGUGGAUCAGAAUGCCACGGUGAAUACGUUCCCGGGCCUUGUACACACCGCCCGUCACACCAUGGGAGUGGGUUGCAAAAGAAGUAGGUAGCUUAACCUUCGGGAGGGCGCUUACCACUUUGUGAUUCAUGACUGGGGUGAAGUCGUAACAAGGUAACCGUAGGGGAACCUGCGGUUGGAUCACCUCCUUACCUUAAAGAA
rnacentral:rRNA from 1 species